GAUGAACGCUGGCGGCGUGCCUAAUACAUGCAAGUCGAGCGAACGGACGAGAAGCUUGCUUCUCUGAUGUUAGCGGCGGACGGGUGAGUAACACGUGGAUAACCUACCUAUAAGACUGGGAUAACUUCGGGAAACCGGAGCUAAUACCGGAUAAUAUUUUGAACCGCAUGGUUCAAAAGUAAAAGACGGUCUUGCUGUCACUUAUAGAUGGAUCCGCGCUGCAUUAGCUAGUUGGUAAGGUAACGGCUUACCAAGGCAACGAUGCAUAGCCGACCUGAGAGGGUGAUCGGCCACACUGGAACUGAGACACGGUCCAGACUCCUACGGGAGGCAGCAGUAGGGAAUCUUCCGCAAUGGGCGAAAGCCUGACGGAGCAACGCCGCGUGAGUGAUGAAGGUCUUCGGAUCGUAAAACUCUGUUAUUAGGGAUGAACAUAUGUGUAAGUAACUGUGCACAUCUUGACGGUACCUAAUCAGAAAGCCACGGCUAACUACGUG
rnacentral:rRNA from 1 species